CAUAGCUCUUUGAAUAUAUAAAGGGUUACGCCUGCCCAGUGGAACAACUCUCAACGGCCGCGGUAUCUUGACCGUGCAAAGGUAGCAUAAUCACUUGUCUCUUAAAUGGGGACCUGUAUGAAUGGCAUUACAUGCUCUAACUGUCUCCCUAUUCUCCCUCUCAAACUUCUACCCACGUGAAGAAGCGUGUAUAAAAAAGAUAGACGAGAAGACCCUGUCGAGCUUCAGCUAACACUAAAAAUCUAGAAUUCUUUUAGAAUUUACUUAAUUUAGUUUAAGCUUUGGUUGGGGUAACCAUGGAGAAUAAAGUAUCCUCCAGUUUAACAAGAAGAUUUCAAAUCUCUUAAAUAUUAUUGAGAACCAGAAGUUCUGGAAAUCGGAAAAAGUUACCGCAGGGAUAACAGCGUUAUCUUCUCUAAGAGUCCGCAUUGACGAGAAGGUUUGCGACCUCGAUGUUGGAUUGGGGUAACCAAAAGGUGUAGCAGCUUUUUUAGGUUGGACUGUUCGUCCAUUAAAACCCUACGUGAUCUGA
rnacentral:rRNA from 1 species